AAGGGGGACGGCAAGCUGAAGUUAAGAGGGUUGUAUAAGGAUUUGGAGAACAUUUUCUCAUCAAAGUGAUCUAGUAAUUGAUCAACUCAUUCAAUUUAUGUGAGUUCAAAGCUCAUACGAGCCUCGAUGGAGAAGUGGAUCCUGAUCUUAUUCAAAGAAUAAAAAUAGGUAUUUGCACAGAUAUAUGGUGUUUCGGGUCCAGGAUCAUGCCAAUGGUCACUAAUUGAAGGGAAUAAAGCCUAUGAACCAAAUCCCGGUUUCUGUCAGUGCUUCAUACUUCAUAGCUUAUUGCUAUUAUCGAUUUUCAACUUUUGUUAUGCUACAUCUGGUCUGAGCCUUCUUCUCAUUUGAUAGUUUGUCUAAUCUGACAUGUUUUCUAUAGGAAAUGUUGUUUCGUUAAAAGUAUCAGAAGAUAAUCUUGUACUGUCUAUCUGAAUCCGGUACAAUGUAUAGUUGAAGGGAAUGAAAACUACAAACCAAAUGCAUAUUCAUUUCGUAUUAAGAGUAGUGUAAUUUUUUUAUGUAUAUGCUUGUGAUCUCGGUUUAAAUAGUUUAAUUUUUUAUGAACCCAUAAAUGAUGGGGUUAUAAUAAUAGAAUUUAAUUUGGCUAG
rnacentral:lncRNA from 1 species